AACGAACGCUGGCGGCAUGCCUAACACAUGCAAGUCGAACGAGAUCUUCGGGUCUAGUGGCGCACGGGUGCGUAACGCGUGGGAAUCUGCCCUUUGGUUCGGAAUAACAGUUGGAAACGACUGCUAAUACCGGAUGAUGACGAAAGUCCAAAGAUUUAUCGCCAGAGGAUGAGCCCGCGUAGGAUUAGCUAGUUGGUGUGGUAAAGGCGCACCAAGGCGACGAUCCUUAGCUGGUCUGAGAGGAUGAUCAGCCACACUGGGACCGAGACACGGCCCAGACUCCUACGGGAGGCAGCAGUGGGGAAUAUUGGACAAUGGGCGAAAGCCUGAUCCAGCAAUGCCGCGUGAGUGAUGAAGGCCUUAGGGUUGUAAAGCCCUUUUACCCGGGAUGAUAAUGACAGUACCGGGAGAAUAAGCUCCGGCUAACUCCGUGCCAACCGCCGCCGUAA
rnacentral:rRNA from 1 species